AUUGAGCCUGAAUCAUGCCCUUAUAGUGGAGCACGUCAUAAAUUUUGUCCAUGUGUUGAAGAAUGGAGGAUGGGAGCUGGUUAUACAACCUUCACAUACAUAGCAGUAAAUAUUACCAGUCUUCAAGUGUUGACUGAUGAUUUCACAUUUUCGACCACUCAUCGUGGAUAUCCAGUCAACUUUGGGGAGGCUGGAGACUGUUACAGCCGUGUUCCUUGUCCCCAAGGUACUUUUUCCAUUAAUCUGAUUGGUACAGGGUUAAAAAUUUCUGAGAAAACAAAAUGGAAGACACAUGGUCAUUAUGCUACAAUCAAGAUAGACAGGCUAGAGGAAGGACAAUUAGUUCAUGGAAAAUGUGGGGGACACUGUGGAAAAUGUAAGCCAGAUGCCAAAAUAGGUUUGUUGCUGGAUAUAGCUCCUCCAGGAAUUCAGUAACUUUAACCUUGGACGCAAACAUGAAAGACAAUGGACCAGAUAAUUUGGAAGUAAGAAGCAAUAUUUGGACCUCAGUAUUGUUUUUGCUAGAUAUUAGUUAUUUCAUAUGUACAUAAUCAUUGUUUGAAAGCUCAAGAUCAUUACGGCUGGGCAAAUCACUUAACAUUGAAAAAACUCAAAUAUUUUUAAUGUACCACUCCGUAGUUUAAAGCUUGUCCUAUUGAAUACUACCCUUCUUCUUAUUGUUUCUAUUAACCAAUUAAUAGAUUAUCACUUUCGUUAUUUAAUCAUGUGUACUAUUAACCAAUUAAUAGAUUAUCACUUUCGUUAUUUAAUCAUGUGUACUAUUAACCAAUUAAUAGACUAUCACUUUCGUUAUUUAAUCAUGUGUAUAUUUAGAGAAUUGUGAUUGGUAUUAACUGUUGUAAGAAAUAAACAAAAGUUAAAAUUAUUUAAUUACAUCAUGAUCAGCAGAGCAAGUUAUUAAGUUAGGUGAGAACAGUUGGGAUAAACUUUAAACAAGCUGCUUAUUUCUUCCUCCACAAAGUGUAAACAAUCAGACCAUUAUUUUAAAUCUUAUCAUUGACACAUUUGGCACACAGAAUGCUUUAUACACUGAUUUUAUGUUUUAAAAAACUUAAAAUAGUUAGAAAACGUUGCAUGAACCAUCAGUAUUUUUACAUCUGAAUUCUUCAUGAUUUUAUGCUUUGUUAAACACAGAUGUUAAUUAAAAAGGUUUCACCAAGUAAACUAUAUAACUGUAUUUGGAAAUUUCUUUUUAGAAGGCAAUUUUGGAAACUAUACUAGUCUUAAGUUUUAUAUUUUUAUUUUAGUCAUUGUACUGUUCCAAUUUUAAAGCGUUGACACAACAGAAAAGGAUUAUUUUUAACAAGAAGCUACAUAUAGCUUUACAGUAGUGGUAAAACCUAUUUUACACUUUAACGUGUCAAACAUUCAUACAUUUUACUUACAGCAUUAUAUUAGUGAUAAAAUUCUUCUAUGCUUUAACAUGCUAAAUAUUCACACAUCCUACAUAUAGCUCUACAGUAGUGGGAAAAAAAUUAUUCUACACUUUAACAUGCCAAACAUUCAUGCACAUUACUUAUAGCUUUAUAUUAGUGGUAAAAUGUUUGUUCACUUUAACAUGUCAUUCAUGCAUGUUAAUUAUAGCUUUACAGUAGUGGUCACCCUAGUAGAUCAGUGGUGAGUCUAAAUGCUUAUAAUGCUCAGGGUGAGCACAGCACAGAUAGCCCAUUGUAUAGCUUUGCACUAGUAAGCUUAACAAAAACAAAUUUACAGCAGUUGUAAACAUUCUUUUACAGUUUAACAUGCUAAACAUCCAUGUAUGUUUUACAACAGUGGUAAAUUUCUUCUACACUUUAACAUGUUACACAUUCAUGUAUACUACAUACAGCUUUACAGCAGUUGUAAAAAUUCUUCUACACUUUAACAUGCUAAACAUUCAUGUAUACUACAUACAGCUUUACAGCAGUUGUAAAAAUUCUUCUACACUUUAACAUGCUAAACAUUCAUGUAUACUACAUACAGCUUUACAGCAAUUGUAAAAAUUCUUCUACACUUUAACAUGCUAAACAUUCAUGUAUACUACAUACAGCUUUACAGCAGUUGUAAAAAUUCUUCUACACUUUAACAUGCUAAACAUUCAUGUAUACUACAUACAGCUUUACAGCAGUUGUAAAAAUUCUUCUUCCGUUUAACAUGUUAAACAUUAAUAUAUACUAAUAUCAAGUUGUUUCACAUAU